rnacentral:rRNA from 1 species
AUUGAACGCUGGCGGCAUGCCUUACACAUGCAAGUCGAACGGUAACAGAUCUUCGGAUGCUGACGAGUGGCGAACGGGUGAGUAAUAUAUCGGAACGUGCCCAGUCGUGGGGGAUAACGCAGCGAAAGCUGUGCUAAUACCGCAUACGAUCUAUGGAUGAAAGCGGGGGAUCGCAAGACCUCGCGCGAUUGGAGCGGCCGAUAUCAGAUUAGGUAGUUGGUGGGGUAAAGGCCCACCAAGCCAACGAUCUGUAGCUGGUCUGAGAGGACGACCAGCCACACUGGAACUGAGACACGGUCCAGGCUCCUACGGGAGGCAGCAGUGGGGAAUUUUGGACAAUGGGUGCAAGCCUGAUCCAGCAAUGCCGCGUGCAGGAUGAAGGCCUUCGGGUUGUAAACUGCUUUGUUACGGAACGAAAAGGACUCUGGUUAAUACCUGGGGCUCAUGACGGUACCGUAAGAAUAAGCACCGGCUAACUACGUG